AUGUCUUCCGGGCAUGACUCCUCCGGGACGACGCUGAUGGAUCUCAUCACCUCGGAUCCGUCGGCCGCCCCGGCCGCCGGGGCGUCGUCGCAGCAGCCGUCCUCGGGCGGCGGCGGCUCGCUUGGGAGGCCUGCCCCGCCGCCGGCGCCGGCGCCAGCGGAUCGUAAGUCGAAGAGGGCGACCCUGAUGCAGAUCCAGAGCGACACCAUCUCAGCAGCCAAGGCGUUCAACCCCGUCAAGGCCCUCCCCCAGCGCAACCGGAAGAAGAAGCCCGUCUCGUACUCGCAGCUGGCGCGGAGCAUCCACGAGCUUGCGGCGACGUGCGACCAGAAAAAAUCCCAGAGGCAGCUCGUGAACAGUGUGUUCCCCAAGCUCGCGGUGUACAAUUCUGUGGAUCCUUCGGUGGCUCCAUCUCUUCUCAUGCUCCAUCAGCAAUGUGAGGACAGAAAUGUUCUGCGCUAUGUGUACUAUUAUCUUGCACGAAUUUUGUCAGAUAAUGGCUCCCAGGGUUUAAGUGCUGCUGGUGGAAUCCCCACACCAAAUUGGGAUGCUCUUGCGGACAUUGAUGUUGCUGGAGGAGUGACUCGGGCAGAUGUUGUGCCCAGAAUAGUUGAUCAGCUUUCAGCAGAAUCCACCAGCGACGAUGUUGAGUUUCAUGCGCGGAGACUUGCGGCUCUGAAGGCCCUAACCUCCUCUUCUACAAGCAGUUCCGAGAUGUUGGAGAAGCUUAGUGAGAUUGUGUUUGGCAUUUUGGAAAAGGUCGCAGAUACUAAACAAAAACGGAAGAAAGGGAUAUUUACCAAGCAAGGUGGCGAUAAGGAGUCUAUUUUACGAAGUAACUUGCAAUAUGCUUCUCUAAGUGCCCUGAGAAGACUUCCACUUGAUCCUGGUAAUCCAGCAUUUCUGCACCGAGCUGUCCAAGGGAUUGAAUUUUCUGACCCAGUUGCAGUGAGGCAUGCCUUGUCAAUAAUCUCAGAAAUUGCUGUUAGAGAUCCAUACUCUGUUGCAAUGGCGCUUGGCAAAAACGCACAACCUGGUGGCGCUCUUCAGGACAUCCUUCAUCUGCAUGAUGUUCUCGCAAGAGUUUACCUUGCAAAGUUGUGCCAUUCAAUAUCUAGGGCACGUGUAUUGGAUGAGAGGCCUGACAUAAAAUCACAGUACAGUUCUCUCCUUUAUCAACUCCUUUUGGAUCCAAGUGACAGGGUCUGUUUUGAGGCAAUACUCUGUGUUCUGGGAAAAGUUGACAACACAGAAAGCACUGAGGACAGAGCUGGCGGAUGGAUCCGGUUAACUAGAGAAAUUCUCAAAUUGCCUGAGGCCCCAUCUGUAGCAUCAAAGGGUCUUCUGUCAAAAGCUAGUGAAAAAUCUUCUAAAGCAAGGCGUCCUCAACCCCUCAUCAAACUUGUAAUGAGAAGGCUGGAGAGCUCUUUCCGUAGCUUUUCUCGCCCUGUUCUUCAUGCCGCUGCAAGAGUAGUCCAGGAAAUGGGUAAAAGCAGAGCAGCUGCUUACUCUUUGGGUGCUUAUGACGAGGGAGCCAAUCUUCAAGCUUAUUCAGAUAAUGUCGAAUCUCUUGAUUCUGAUGAGAACUCACAACCUGAAGCCACCCGGAAAGCUAAGCCACUGUCGAAUGGACAUGGUGGAAUGGACACAGUAGCAGGGUUAUUGGCAUCACUAAUGGAAGUAGUGCGGACAACUGUAGCAUGCGAGUGCGUAUAUGUUCGAGCAAUGGUCAUCAAAGCUUUGAUAUGGAUGCAAAAUCCACAUGAGUCCCUCGAUGAACUAAAAUCUAUAAUUGCGUGUGAGCUGUCUGACCCAGCCUGGCCUUCUUCUCUACUGAAUGAUGUCCUGCUAACCCUACAUGCUAGGUUCAAGGCAACCCCUGAUAUGGCUGUGACUCUGCUUGAGAUUGCUAGAAUUUUUGCUACUAAAGUUCCUGGAAAGAUUGAUGCUGACGUUCUACAACUGUUAUGGAAGACAUGCCUUGUGGGAGCAGGACCAGAUGGGAAACAUACAGCAUUGGAAGCUGUGACAAUUGUCCUUGAUCUGCCACCACCUCAGCCUGGUUCAAUGUCUGUCCUCACGUCUGUUGAUAUGAUAUCCGCCUCUGAUCCAAAAUCUGCAAUGGCACUGCAAAGAUUAGUCCAAGCUGCUGUUUGGUUUCUGGGAGAAAAUGCAAACUAUGCUGCAUCCGAGUAUGCAUGGGAAUCUGCGACGCCGCCUGGUACUGCUCUAAUGAUGCUUGAUGCUGAUAAAAUGGUUGCUGCAGCUAGCUCCCGUAACCCUACACUUGCUAGCGCUCUGACGCGGCUCCAAAGGUGUGCAUUUAGUGGCAGCUGGGAGAUCCGUAUAGCUGCUGUCCAGGCCCUAACUACCAUUGCAAUAAGGUCUGGUGAACCUUAUAGACUACAGAUAUAUGAGUUUCUUCAUGCUUUGAGUCUGGGGGGUGUGCAGUCAAACUUUUCGGAAUUGCAGCUAAGUAAUGGGGAAAACCAAGGUGCUAGUGGUACUGGUCUUGGGUCUUUGAUCAGCCCAAUGCUCAAGGUCUUGGAUGAGAUGUAUAAAGCUCAAGACGACCUUGCUAGGGACAUCCGUCAGCAUGAUAAUAGCAAACAAGAAUGGAGUGAUGAUGAACUCAAGAAACUUUAUGAAACCCAUGAGAGGCUUCUUGAUUUCGUUUGUUUAUUCUGUUUCGUUCCAAGGAUUAAGUACUUGCCUUUAGGCCCUACCAGUGCCAAGCUAAUUGAGAUCUACCGCAAUCGGCAUAACAUUAGUGCAUCGGUCGGUCUAAGUGACCCUGCUGUUGCUACUGGAAUAUCUGACCUGAUGUAUGAGUCGAAAGAAGUACAUAAAGAGACCAGUACUAUGCAAUCCGGAAUUGACCCUGAUCUAGCUAUGGCCUGGGCAGCAGGUUUGGAAGAUGAUGCCUGGGCAAACGAUGCCCCAGGUGUGGACAAAGUCAAGGAUUUCCUUUCUGGUGCUGGAACUGAUGCUCCUGAUGUGGAUGACGAGGAAUACAUGAAUUCUAGGCCAUCAGUCGGUUAUGAUGAUAUGUGGGCCAAGACAAUUCUUGAAGAGGAAGAUGAUGGGAGGUCUUCUGGUGGGUCCUCUCCUGACUCAACUGGUUCUGUGGAGACGUCCAUAUCAUCCCAUUUCGGUGGCAUGAACUACCCGUCUUUGUUUAGUUCAAAACCACCAAGUUAUGGGGCUUCACAACAAACGAUACGUGAAGAACCACCAUCAUAUUCAACAUCUGUCCUACAGAAGCGUGAGUCGUUUGACAACCCCCUCGCGGGGCGUGGGGGUCGAAGUUCUGGAUCUGGAUCCCACGAGGAUGUUGAGAAGAGUUCCGGGAACCCUCAAUCUGGGAAAGCAUUGUAUGACUUCACAGCAGGCGGUGAUGAUGAGCUGAGUUUAAACUCUGGAGAAGAUGUGGAUAUUGAAUAUGAGGUUGAUGGUUGGUACUAUGUGAAGAAAAAGAGACCAGGAAGGGAUGGGAAAAUGGCAGGUCUGGUCCCUGUUUUGUAUGUGAGCUCGUGA
rnacentral:rRNA from 1 species